rnacentral:rRNA from 1 species
CGCGUGGGCAACCUGCCCUGUACCGGGGGACAACAGCCAGAAAUGGCUGCUAAUACCGCAUAAGCCUGCUGUGCCGCAUGGCACAGCAGGGAAAACCACGGUGGUACAGGAUGGGCCCGCGUCUGAUUAGUUAGUUGGCAGGGUAACGGCCUACCAAGACAACGAUCAGUAGCCGGCUUGAGAGAGUGGACGGCCACAUUGGGACUGAGACACGGCCCAGACUCCUGCGGGAGGCAGCAGUGGGGAAUAUUGCACAAUGGGGGGAACCCUGAUGCAGCAAUGCCGCGUGGGUGAAGAAGCACUCCGGUGCGUAAAGCCCUGUCAGCAGGGAAGAAAAUGACAGUACCUGGACAAGAAGCCCCGGCUAACUACGUGCCAGCAGCCGCGGUAAUACGUAGGGGGCAAGCGUUAUCCGGAUUUACUGGGUGUAAAGGGAGCGCAGGCGGCGUGGCAAGUCAAAUGUGAAAACCCGGGGCCCAACCCCGGGAGUGCAUUUGAAACUGCCAUGCU